rnacentral:rRNA from 1 species
AAAUUGAAGAGUUUGAUCAUGGCUCAGAUUGAACGCUGGCGGCAGGCCUAACACAUGCAAGUCGAACGGUAACAGGAAGCAGCUUGCUGUUUCGCUGACGAGUGGCGGACGGGUGAGUAAUGUCUGGGAAACUGCCUGAUGGAGGGGGAUAACUACUGGAAACGGUAGCUAAUACCGCAUAACGUCGCAAGACCAAAGAGGGGGACCUUCGGGCCUCUUGCCAUCGGAUGUGCCCAGAUGGGAUUAGCUAGUAGGUGGGGUAACGGCUCACCUAGGCGACGAUCCCUAGCUGGUCUGAGAGGAUGACCAGCCACACUGGAACUGAGACACGGUCCAGACUCCUACGGGAGGCAGCAGUGGGGAAUAUUGCACAAUGGGCGCAAGCCUGAUGCAGCCAUGCCGCGUGUAUGAAGAAGGCCUUCGGGUUGUAAAGUACUUUCAGCGGGGAGGAAGGGAGUAAAGUUAAUACCUUUGCUCAUUGACGUUACCCGCAGAAGAAGCACCGGCUAACUCCGUGCCAGCAGCCGCGGUAAUACGGAGGGUGCAAGCGUUAAUCGGAAUUACUGGGCGUAAAGCGCACGCAGGCGGUUUGUUAAGUCAGAUGUGAAAUCCCCGGGCUCAACCUGGGAACUGCAUCUGAUACUGGCAAGCUUGAGUCUCGUAGAGGGGGUAGAAUUCCAGGUGUAGCGGUGAAAUGCGUAGAGAUCUGGAGGAAUACCGGUGGCGAAGGCGGCCCCUGGACGAAGACUGACGCUCAGGUGCGAAAGCGUGGGGAGCAAACAGGAUUAGAUACCUUGGUAGUCCACGCCGUAAACGAUGUCGACUUGGAGGUUGUGCCCUUGAGGUGUGGCUUCCGGAGCUAACGCGUUAAGUCGACCGCCUGGGGAGUACGGCCGCAAGGUUAAAACUCAAAUGAAUUGACGGGGCCCGCACAAGCGGUGGAGCAUGUGGUUUAAUUCGAUGCAACGCGAAGAACCUUACCUGGUCUUGACAUCCACGGAAGUUUUCAGAGAUGAGAAUGUGCCUUCGGGAACCGUGAGACAGGUGCUGCAUGGCUGUCGUCAGCUCGUGUUGUGAAAUGUUGGGUUAAGUCCCGCAACGAGCGCAACCCUUAUCCUUUGUUGCCAGCGGUCCGGCCGGGAACUCAAAGGAGACUGCCAGUGAUAAACUGGAGGAAGGUGGGGAUGACGUCAAGUCAUCAUGGCCCUUACGACCAGGGCUACACACGUGCUACAAUGGCGCAUACAAAGAGAAGCGACCUCGCGAGAGCAAGCGGACCUCAUAAAGUGCGUCGUAGUCCGGAUUGGAGUCUGCAACUCGACUCCAUGAAGUCGGAAUCGCUAGUAAUCGUGGAUCAGAAUGCCACGGUGAAUACGUUCCCGGGCCUUGUACACACCGCCCGUCACACCAUGGGAGUGGGUUGCAAAAGAAGUAGGUAGCUUAACCUUCGGGAGGGCGCUUACCACUUUGUGAUUCAUGACUGGGGUGAAGUCGUAACAAGGUAACCGUAGGGGAACCUGCGGUUGGAUCACCUCCUUA